GGGUGGCAAGAUGGUGGCGCGCAGGACGAAGCUCGCGGCGCGGGACCCGGAGGACGGUAUCCCGAGCCCACCGUGCUACGCAGCUAUUCCAAUCAAGUUCUCUGAAAAGCAACAGGCUUCUCACUACCUCUAUGUGAGAGCACACGGCAUUCAACAAGGCACCAAGUCCACCUGGCCUCAGAAGAGGACUCUUUUUGUCUUCAAUGUGCCCCCAUACUGCACAGAGCAGGAGAGCCUGUCCUGCCUCCAGUCCACCUGUGGCCUUGUCCAGUCUGUAGAGUUGAAGGAGAAGCUGGAGCUGGCUGGGAGUCAAGGUCGAAGUUUUUUCAUCCAAAGCCAGUUCCGGGUUUCCAGGUAGCCUACGUGGUGUUCCAGAAGCCAAGUGGGGUGUCAGCGGCCUUGGCCCUGAAGGGCCCCCUGCUGGUGUCCACAGAGAGCCACCCUGUGAAGAGUGGCAUUCACAAAUGGAUCAGUGACUACGCAGACUCUGUGCCCGACCCUGAGGCCCUGAGGGUGGAAGUGGACACGUUCAUGGAGGCAUAUGACCAGAAGAUCGCUGAGGAAGAAGCUAAGGCCAAGGAGGAGGAGGGGGUCCCUGACGAGGAGGGCUGGGUGAAGGUGACCCGCCGGGGCCGGCGGCCUGUGCUCCCCCGGACUGAGGCAGCCAGCUUGCGGGUGCUGGAGAGGGAGAGACGGAAGCGCAGCCAAAAAGAGCUGCUCAACUACGCCUGGCAGCAUCGAGAGAGCAAGAUGGAGCAUCUAGCGCAGCUGCGCAAGAAGUUUGAGGAGGACAAGCAGAGGAUCGAGCUGCUGCGGGCCCAGCGCAAAUUCCGACCCUACUGAGCCGUGAGAGCCGCAGUGGAUGGCUGGAGGUGCAGGGCCAGGAGGAACAUGAGGUGAGGCAGGGCCUGCAGCGGUCUCUGAGAGGCCGAGCUCUGGCCAACGGGCCCCAGGUUGAAGGCCAUCGCGUCCAACAGCCCCAUCAGAGUCCACACAGGCCAGGAGUGAAGGACCAGGCCACCCCUCGGGUCUUGUGCUUCAGCAGUCCUGGAGACCCAGGCGUGCCGAGAGGAGGACUUGUCCUUCCCACCUCUUGCCUCCACACCCUUGAGGACCCUGGAUGAAUCCGUUCUGUGCUUCCUUUUCCCUCAAUGCAAAAGCCCUUGCUGGCAACAAAAAAGCCUCAAAAGCAGUGAGAAUACAAGAACCUUUUAUUUUCCAUCCAGUUGGGCAGCAGGGAAAGGCUAGGUGGGCCCAGCCUGCCCUUCCUUCCUCCAGCUGGCUGGAUAUUUAUUAUUAGCCAGGAGAAAGCAGCCCUGGAACCCAGACUCUGUCUCCCCCUUGAGGUCACAGAUGUUGAAGUUGGAAUCUCGCUCCUUCCCCUGACUACCAUCCUAGGCUGGGCCUCAAGACUAGUGAGGCCUGUCCCCACCAUCCCUGGCCUUGUUGUGGGGCUCAGGAACUCAGAGUCCCAGUGUUGAGUCUGGGAGCACUAGGUCUUCAUAGUUCCAGGCCCAGAGCUACAGCUGGGCUGGGAGCAUGUGUGUGCACUGUAAGAAGGAGCUGAUGAUACUGGCCACGUGCUGGGGUUCGCUCAUGUGGACACAGUGAUUGCCUGGGACUUCCACAAACUGGAACUGCUGGAGAGGGGAGGGGGUGGGUGGUGAGGUGUGGCCAGAGGAGCCUAGGGAGCUCCAUGGGCCCCGGGGUCAGGGCCCUCCCACAGCAUUCCAGCUCCCUGCAGGUCAGGAGCGCCUCCCACAGUGAGUUUCCCCCACACUCGGCUCCUUGGAGCCCCGACAGUCCAUAGCACCCCAGGAGGUGUCUAACCCUAGGGACUUGGAGGCCUCCCAGGGGUCUAGGCCAGCUGAGUUGUGAAGUUGCAUGGCAGGGACAGGGCGGGGCCGAGGCCAGGGUUGCUGUGAUUGUAUCAGAAGAGGUACCCGUGAGAAAAGAUAAUGAGAUGGGGGCGUGAACAGCCUGCAGACUUGUGUCUGCCUUCAAGAAGCCAGACAGGGCCGGGCGCAGUGGCUCACGCCUGUAUUCCCAGCACUUUGGGAGGCCAAGGCAGGCGGGAGGCCAAGGUGGGCGGAUCACGAGGUCAGGAGAUCAAGAGCAUCCUGGUUAAGACAGUGAAACCCCGUCUCUACUAAAAAUACAAAAAAUUAGCCGGGCGUGGUGGCGGGCGCCUGUAGUCCCAGCUACUCGGGAGGCUGAGGCAGGAGAAUGGCAUGAACCCGGGAGGUGGAACUUGGAGUGAGCCGAGAUCGGGCCACUGCCCUCCAGCCUGGGCAACAGAGCGACACUCCAUCUCAAAAAAAAAAAAAAAAAA